rnacentral:rRNA from 1 species
UACAGAGGGGGCAAGCGUUGUUCGGAAUUACUGGGCGUAAAGGGCGCGUAGGCGGCCUGUUAAGUCGAACGUGAAAUCCCCGGGCUCAACCCGGGAACUGCGUCCGAUACUGGCAGGCUUGAAUCCGGGAGAGGGAUGCGGAAUUCCAGGUGUAGCGGUGAAAUGCGUAGAUAUCUGGAGGAACACCAGCGGCGAAGGCGGCGCUCUGGGCCGGAACUGACGCUGAGGAGCGAAAGCGUGGGUAGCAAACAGG